UUCACAUGAAUAGUAGCAGCCCUUGCCUUGCCUUUGCCUUGCCUUAGCCUUCAUGGGUGGACUUGCUCUUACAGAGGGAACAUGCGUCAGAGAGUUGAGAGAGGAGGAGUUGAAGAAGAUGAUCAUAAAGGUAAAUGUACAAUCACUAAAUACAGAGCUUCGAGAUCCCCAUGAUAGUGCGUGUGAAAAACCCUCAUCCCCGCGCGCAAGAGGGGGG